AUUGCACGCUGGCGGCAGGCCUAACACAUGCAAGUCGAGCGAGCGGCGGACGGGUGAGUAAUGUAUGGAGAUCUGCCCGAUCGAGGGGGAUAACUACUGGCAACGGUUGCUAAUACCGCAUACUAUAGGAUGCCCCACUAUGGGAUUAGCUAGUAGGUGGGUUAAAGGCUCACCUAGGCGACGAUCUCUAGCUGGUCUGAGAGGAUGAUAAGCCACACUGGGACUGAGACACGGCCCAGACUCCUACGGGAGGCAGCAGUGGGGAAUAUUGCACAAUGGGCGCAAGCCUGAUGCAGCCGUGCCGCGUGUAUGAAGAAGGCCUUAGGGUUGUAAAGUACUUUCAGCGGGGAGGCGUUACCCGCAGAAGAAGCACCGGCUAACUCCGUGCCAGCAGCCGCGGUAAUAC
rnacentral:rRNA from 1 species